ACCAUGUGUAAAAAGUAGGUAUUAGGUGCUUUAAAAAAUGGGUAAUGAAAGCACUUAUCAGGAGUUCAUUCUGUGUCAGUCAUAGGGCCCUGGAGGAAGCCACAGAGCUGUCUGUCAAUACUAAGUGGGCUGAGAAAACCCAGGAUGAGUGAAGGAGCCUCAGACAUUAUAAUAGUGAUACCAACUCAAGAGGGAAUGAAAGAACCACAGUUCCCCUACAGUCUGGUAGUUAGCUAUUUGAACAUGAUACGUAGUCUUAAUAUAUAAAUGGAGACUGGCUAUCCACUGAACAUUUCCUCCAGACACCUUUCCACUCUGUUCAUCUGAUAUGUGUGAUUACCUAAGAGUCAAGGAGGACCAUUCAGAAGGUAAAGAUUAAGUCCCUAAAGAACACUUUUUAUUAAGG
rnacentral:lncRNA from 1 species